UUUUUUUUUUUUUUUGACAGGAUGGGCUGGGGUUGGGGGAGGAGGAAGCAAGAAUUAAGCAGAGAAGGCAAGCUCCUUUCUGUUCAUCUAACUCAAAACCCAAGUGACCACCUGGUAAUUACUUCAACAGCAGAGCGACUCAUACAGCCGGCAGUCCACUUUGUUCUUCUAUAGAUCCUGCCUGUGGUGUUGGAUCUAACAGCUUCUUCCCUGACCCAAGAUUAUGAAGGAUUUCUCCUGUGUUCUCUUCUAAAAAUUUUACAUUUAGGUCCUGGGCUUUCUCUGCUAGAAGAGGCUGAAUUCCUGGAGUACCUAGAGUACAGAGCUGGAGAGAAAUCUAGAAGUGGAAUUGCUGAGCUGUAGAGUAUGUGAAUCUCUACAACUUUCAACUUUACCAUGUAUUGUCAAAUUGCUCUCCAAAGUGAUGGUACCAAUUAAUGAUACUACCAAUAAGACCUGCACUAUAAAAAAUGGUAGAGGAAGUUCUUCAGUAUGAAAGUGAAUGAUACCAGAUGGAAACUGAGAUCUACAAAAUGAAACAUCACUGGAAAUAGUAAAUACAUGGCUUUGCUGCCAGUUUUCCAUCCAUCCCCCGGGGCUGAGAUGAGGUGAGAGGCCGCAAAUCCUAUCUAUGAAGAUAGGCACUUCCAUUCAUUCUGAAGUCCUCACAUAGUAGUUAUUCAGUGAAUGUACCCUGGGAUCCACUUUUCACCUUUCCCCUUACCUGCUUUGUGCUUCAAGAAACUGACUUCAACAGACAGCAUCAUCUGGGCUUCUUUACCCUGUAGUGUUCAGCUGAGUUCAGCCAAUGGAAGACACUAGUAGAAGACUGGAAGGAUAGAGGAGAGAAAGAUUGGAAUAUUUAUUCCCAUCUCAUACUACAGUUUUUGUAGUGAUGGUUCUUCCUAUUGGACAGCUUCCACCUAUAACUACAGUUCUCUCCUGGUUCCAGAAACUGCUUUCUCCACUUCUGACCUAGGAGUAGCCACAGCUCCCAGCUGUUGUUAGACCCCAGGUGUAUUUUGUCAUCUCUUGUUACUUCCCUUAACCCUGCCACAGCUCUGAAAAUAGUCCAGUAAUUAAAUACUUUUUGAGCUAUUUCUUUGAGUAUACCACCUGUUUGUUUCGUGCCUGGACCCUGAGUGAUACAGUAUAAUAAAUAAUGUUCAAUACAAUAUACAAUGUAAAAUACAAUAGAUAAUACAAUUCC
ensembl:lncRNA novel transcript